AUGGGAUUAAAGAUGCUAAUGCUGUUCUGUGUAUUGGCAUUCACUGGCCAAGGGCAAGGGAUUCCUGAAACUGAUGUACAACGUUCCGGUGUCAGUGCCGCUUCAGGUACAGCGGAGGACCCACGGAGAGUUGGAGACGAGAUCAACCCCCCAGACACCAUGACAGACUGUGUGACUGUAAGGGGAGGAGGAGAGAGGGUUUGAGUGGAGGCUGCCUCUGCCAGGAGUCUGCCAAAUCCUACCGCAAGCCCAGGAAGGCCUGUGAGUAGUCCUGUGUUUCUGUAACACUAACAGCAGUACAUUGAAGAGUUUCUACAAUACUUGUUACCAUGGACUCUCCCAAAGUCACCAAUCUGUGUGUAUCUCUCUCCCAUCCUCUCCGACCUAUACGCAAUCCAGUUGUGGCAAUGUGCCUAAGGAAAGGAUUCCAGAAUCAUUGGUAAUGCCAGAAGAUCAUGAAAAUGGUAGAGAGGUCAAAGGGUGACCAAGGCAAAAACUUCAUCAGUAUCCCAAUUUAAAGAGUUGACCUUUAAUAACUAUUUUAUAAACCUUGUAACCAUGUUUCGUAAUCUCAUGUUGCUCUCUCAAGAACUAUGACUCGUUUUUUUAAAUAAAAUGUAUUAUAUAAUUAUACUCCUUUGUAAUACACAUUUUUUUAUAACAAGUUUCACUAUGUGUGUGGAAUGAUUUCCAAUGUGUUAUUUUAGCAUUUUCUCACUAGAUUUCAUAUUUCCUUUUGCGUGUAUUGUGCAACUCUAAAUCCCUCUGUUGCUACUUCAUUAGAUCCACAUUAUUUCUGUAUUUUACCCCCUUUUCUACCCGAUUUCAAUCUUGUCUCACGCUGCAAUUCCCCAAUGGGCUCGGGAGGGUAAUGUCGAGUCAUGCGUCCUCUGAAACAUGACCCGCCAGACCGCACUUCUUAACACCCGCCUGCUUAACAAGGAAGCCAGCCGCACCAAUGUCUCGGAGGAAACACCGUUCACCUGACAACCAAGGUCAGACUGCAGGCACCCGGCCCGCCACAAGGAGUUGCUAGAGCGCGAUGAGCCAUGUAAAGCCCCCCCCCUCCCCCCUCCGGCAAAACCCUCCCCUAACCCGGUCGACGCUGGGACAAUUGUGCACCGCCCUAUGCGACUCCAGAUCAUGACCGGUUGUGAUACUGCCGAAAGUGUGCCUGUGGUGAUGCCUCUAGCGCCUGCGAUGCAGUGCCUUAGACCUCUGCGCCACUCAGGAGGCCCAAGAUCCACAUUUCUUCACAGCAAUUCUGCCGAUAAAGAAAUCACCCAAGAUUGCAACAUUCAGUAGGACAGGUGUGAAAAGACAACACUAUAUUUAAGACAAUAAUUAAUGAAGAGGAAAUAUAAACAUAAGACAACAGCACAAGCCUGCGUCUCCUCCGGGAAUUUACAAGCUUAUGCAAAAACAAGCCAUAUUUGACAUAAACACCAGUUAACUGUACUAUCAAUUGAAAUGUUUUACCUUCAAGGUAUUUACAAGUUAAAUAAACCUGAAUUUGUACUUAACAGAGUUUACAUACAUGAUCAAACACAGAACACAGAAAGAGACUCAGUGAAUGGACUCCAGGGCAACAGUCACAAGGGCAGUGAAUAUCUAAGAACUUUUAGAAACAGAACUAGGCAGUGCUGCUGAGCAGUGGAUGUUUUCCCUUUCAUUUACCAUGUUGAAGACCAGUUUAAGAUUUUUGUUUUUAUUUAUAGAGAUGAUUGACAAAAACACACUGUCGAGGUGGGUUCUAUUCUAGGUUCUAUUCCCUUCUGACCUCUUGUUCUCUCUCCUCACAGUGUAAAAGCAUUGGAAAGGAGCUGAGCAUACUAAACCCAGCCCUAUAGUGGCAAGAUGGGGCAAUUACAAUAUCAACAAUACCACUUAUUUCUAUCGAGUCCUUUUUCAGAUCAGUGAGGGGAGUCAGUGAGGGUAGAGGGAAGGGAAUGAUUGGCUCCCAGCCAGCAGACAGACAUGCAGUGUGCUUACU
rnacentral:lncRNA from 8 species